GCAAGUGGAGGGAGAUGGCGGCCAGGAAGGAGGAACUCCUGCUGCGGAGCCGGGGCCGAGUCGCGUGGACGAUCGUCGCGCUUUGCUGCGGCUCGCAUGCGUCCCACAUCCUGCACUCGCUCGGUAUCCAUGUUGGCCACGGUGAGUUACCACGAGACAUUCAUAGCGUGAUCUGAUUUUCUGGAAUAACAGAGUGAUGUUUAAUAUUGGCGUGAAGGGCCCCUCUGAUCAGUCUACCUAUGGUUCAGGAACGUUUUUUGGAUCUGUUGCAUAAUCCUUAUGUGAAAUGUGGCAUUGCUACAACUGCUUUGUUUGGGCUUGGAAGAGGGAUUAACAGACUUGUCCUGAAGGGCAUCGAGCAAACUGGCUCAUCAGUUAUGUAAUGAAGUGAUGCAAGUCACGGAGGCUGACAUUGAAGAAUUUGAAGCUAAAUAUAGAGGGUCAGAUUCUGAGAAAACGGACUUGAAGGAACUCUACACAAAAUAUAAGGGCAACAUGAACAUGAAUAAUUAUCUCUUAUAUCAUAUUGUAAAAUCUGAAACAGUUCUCAUGUAGAUGGUUAGCUUGCAUUUUACGCUACAAUUACCUCAGAUCACUUCUUGUUGUAUCUUACACCAAUUUACGAAAUUUCUUGAUGUGUUUUAUGACAACCUCACGCGUUGAGAGAUA